rnacentral:rRNA from 1 species
GAUGAACGCUAGCGGGAGGCCUAAUACAUGCAAGUCGAGCGGUAGAGUGACUUCGGUUGCUUGAGAGCGGCGCACGGGUGAGUAACGCGGUACAUGACCUACCUUUAAGACUGGGAUAGCCCUGGGAAACUGGGAUUAAUACCGGAUGUGAUAAUACGUAUAGAGAUGUAUUAUUAAAGUUGAGGCGCUUAGAGAUGGAUGUGCGUCUGAUUAGCUAGUUGGUAGGUAACGGCCUACCAAGGCUACGAUCAGUAGGGGGCUGAGAGCGUGGCCCCCCCANACGGGUACUGAGACACGGACCCGAUCCUACGGGAGGCAGCAGUAAGGAAUAUUGGCAAUGGACGAA